UGCAGUCGAGCGCACUCUUCGGAGUGAGCGGCGGACGGGUUAGUAACGCGUGGGAACGUACCCAGAUCUACGGAAUAGCCUCGGGAAACUGAGAGUAAUACCGUAUACGCCCUUCGGGGGAAAGAUUUAUCGGAUUUGGAUCGGCCCGCGUUAGAUUAGAUAGUUGGUGAGGUAACGGCUCACCAAGUCUACGAUCUAUAGCUGGUUUUAGAGGAUGAUCAGCAACACUGGGACUGAGACACGGCCCAGACUCCUACGGGAGGCAGCAGUGGGGAAUCUUGGACAAUGGGCGCAAGCCUGAUCCAGCCAUGCCGCGUGAGUGAUGAAGGCCUUAGGGUCGUAAAGCUCUUUCGCCAGGGAUGAUAAUGACAGUACCUGGUAAAGAAACCCCGGCUAACUCCGUGCCAGCAGCCGCGGUAAUACGGAGGGGGUUAGCGUUGUUCGGAAUUACUGGGCGUAAAGCGCACGUAGGCGGAUCAGAAAGUAAGGGGUGAAAUCCCAGGGCUCAACCCUGGAACUGCCUCUUAAACUCCUGGUCUUGAGUUCGAGAGAGGUGAGUGGAAUUCCGAGUGUAGAGGUGAAAUUCGUAGAUAUUCGGAGGAACACCAGUGGCGAAGGCGGCUCACUG
rnacentral:rRNA from 1 species